AGCGAACGCUGGCGGCAGGCCUAGCACAUGCAAGUCGAGCGCCGUAGCAAUACGGAGCGGCAGACGGGAGAGUAACACGUGGGAACGUGCCCUUCAGUUCGGAACAACCCAGGGAAACUUGGGCUAAUACUGGAUACGUCCGUAAGGAGAAAGAUCUAUCGCUGAAGGAUCGGCCCGGGUCUGAUUAGCUAGUUGGUGGGGUAAUGGCACACAAAGGCGACGAUCAGUAGCUGGGCUGAGAGGAUGAUCAGCCUCACUGGGGCUGGGAAACGGCCGGGACUCCUGCGGGAGGCAGCAGUGGUGAAUAUUGGCCAAUGGGCUCAAGCCUGAUCCAGCCAUGCCGCGUGGGUAAUGAAGGCCCUAAGGUUGUAAAGCCCUUUCACCGGUGAAGAUAAUGACGGUAUCCGGAGAAGAAGCCCCGGCUAACUUCGUGCCAGCAGCCGCAGUAAAAC
rnacentral:rRNA from 1 species